rnacentral:rRNA from 1 species
UGGGGAAUUUUGGACAAUGGGCGAAAGCCUGAUCCAGCAAUGCCGCGUGUGUGAAGAAGGCCUUCGGGUUGUAAAGCACUUUUGUCCGGAAAGAAAUCCUUGGCUCUAAUACAGUCGGGGGAUGACGGUACCGGAAGAAUAAGCACCGGCUAACUACGUGCCAGCAGCCGCGGUAAUACGUAGGGCGCAAGCGUUAAUCGGAAUUACUGGGCGUAAAGCGUGCGCAGGCGGUUUGCUAAGACCGAUGUGAAAUCCCCGGGCUCAGCCUGGGAACUGCAUUGGUGACUGGCAGGCUAGAGUAUGGCAGAGGGGGGUAGAAUUCCACGUGUAGCAGUGAAAUGCGUAGAGAUGUGGAGGAAUACCGAUGGCGAAGGCAGCCCCCUGGGCCAAUACUGACGCUCAUGCACGAAAGCGUGGGGAGCAAACAGGAUUAGAUACCCUGGUAGUCCACGCCCUAAACGAUGUCAACUAGUUGUUGGGGAUUCAUUUCCUUAGUAACGUAGCUAACGCGUGAAGUUGACCGCCUGGGGAGUACGGUCGCAAGAUUAAAACUCAAAUGGAAUUGAC